rnacentral:rRNA from 1 species
AAACAUGAGAGUUUGAUCCUGGCUCAGGAUGAACGCUGGCGGCGUGCUUAACACAUGCAAGUCGAACGAAGCAGUUUUGAAGAAGCCUUCGGGUGGAAUUGAGAUUGACUGAGUGGCGGACGGGUGAGUAACGCGUGGGUAAUCUGCCUCAUACAGGGGGAUAACAGUUAGAAAUGACUGCUAAUACCGCAUAA